rnacentral:rRNA from 1 species
UAGGGAAUCUUCCACAAUGGACGCAAGUCUGAUGGAGCAACGCCGCGUGAGUGAAGAAGGUUUUCGGAUCGUAAAGCUCUGUUGUUGGUGCAGAAGGAUAGAGGCAGUAACUGGUCUUUAUUUGACGGUAAUCAACCAGAAAGUCACGGCUAACUACGUGCCAGCAGCCGCGGUAAUACGUAGGUGGCAAGCGUUGUCCGGAUUUAUUGGGCGUAAAGCGAGCGCAGGCGGAAUGAUAAGUCUGAUGUGAAAGCCCACGGCUCAACCGUGGAACUGCAUCGGAAACUGUCAUUCUUGAGUGCAGAAGAGGAGAGUGGAAUUCCAUGUGUAGCGGUGGAAUGCGUAGAUAUAUGGAAGAACACCAGUGGCGAAGGCGGCUCUCUGGUCUGCAACUGACGCUGAGGCUCGAAAGCAUGGGUAGCGAACAGG